GCGAGUGAGAGAGAGAGAGAGAGAGAGAGAGUCAGAGAGAGAGAAGCUUCGGAUCAUGUCCUUCCCUCUUUGUCUAAUGGCCAGUGAUCCGAGAUGCGCCCCUCGCUAUUGUCGCCGUCGCUGGACAAUGUAGGCUAUUAGGACGUUUUCCUUUCUCCCAUUUUCGCUCAAGCAACUCUGCUGCUUACAUCUCCUCUGUUCUGUCUGUUUCUUUCUUUCCUUUCCUUUCUGUCUUGUGGACAAUCUGAGGGUGUGUAGAAAAAGAGAACCUUGACAAGUGUUGAAAGGAGAAAUUAUUGAGUUUUGAGAGCUCUGAACAGAUAAUGUGGUCGAUCUUGCACCUUCAGAUGAUCGUUGAGGAGUGGAAUGUCAAGUUGAAGUUGGAGCAUUAUUCUGGUUAAUCUCCCUUCAAUGUAAACCUAAAAAUAUAUUUUGUAUUUUGUGAAUUUUAUUUUAGAUGCUCCACAUAAACUAAAGUUAGGAUCCUUGUUACUAUCUAUAUUGUUGGUCUGUUGGUAGGUACUAAACUCACUUGUUGUUAUUUUAUUGUGAUAAUAUUGUUGUAUAACUUUUGGGAAAUCUUGUUUUUAGGGAAGGUCUUGUCAAAAUAUCUAUAGAAAAUUUUGGAAUCUUUUUGUUUGUA